rnacentral:rRNA from 1 species
CAUGCUAGUCGCACGAGUUCAGACUCGUGGCAUAUAGCUCAGUAACACGUGGCCAAACUACCCUACAGACCGCGAUAACCUCGGGAAACUGAGGCCAAUAGCGGAUAUAACUCUCAUGCUGGAGUGCCGAGAGUUAGAAACGUUCCGGCGCUGUAGGAUGUGGCUGCGGCCGAUUAGGUAGAUGGUGGGGUAACGGCCCACCAUGCCGAUAAUCGGUACAGGUUGUGAGAGCAAGAGCCUGGAGACGGUAUCUGAGACAAGAUACCGGGCCCUACGGGGCGCAGCAGGCGCGAAACCUUUACACUGCACGACAGUGCGAUAGGGGGACUCCGAGUGUGAGGGCAUAUAGCCCUCGCUUUUCUGUACCGUAAGGUGGUACAGGAACAAGGACUGGGCAAGACCGGUGCCAGCCGCCGCGGUAAUACCGGCAGUCCAAGUGAUGGCCGAUAUUAUUGGGCCUAAAGCGUCCGUAGCUUGCUGUGUAAGUCCAUUGGGAAAUCGACCAGCUCAACUGGUCGGCGUCCGGUGGAAACUACACAGCUUGGGGCCGAGAGACUCAACGGGUACGUCCGGGGUAGGAGUGAAAUCCUGUAAUCCUGGACGGACCACCAAUGGGGAAACCACGUUGAGAGACCGGACCCGACAGUGAGGGACGAAAGCCAGGGUCUCGAACCGGAUUAGAUACCCGGGUAGUCCUGGCUGUAAACAAUGCUCGCUAGGUAUGUCACGCGCCAUGA